UUUUCUUGUUGUCACUAAGGUACCUCACUGAACGAAUCAGGACGCCCAACUAACGGGGAGGACAAAAAAAGGACUGGAGAACACCAUUAAAGAAUUGAAGGGUGUAGCCAGUAGUGUCACUGAAUGACUUGCCACCGAAGGACCACUCGCCCCUGCAGGCCGCCCAGGAAGAUUGCGUGCAUGAGUGAGGUGGAGGACUUCAGCGGGAGCUUAUGGAACACGGCCUGAGCUGUGCACAGGCCCGUCGCCAAGGGGAGGGGGGGGGUUGGGGCCUGGUGGGGCCGGGCCCCCCUCGGCGAGCAAUUGGCCCCCCAAACGGUGGGUCCCCCUUGUUGGUACUAUUUGGCCCCUCCUGAUGCUCGGGGCUGGCGACGGGCCUGGCUGUGCACAAAACAUACAGGUUCCAAUCUGAAGUCCAUCCAGAUGAUCCUUAAUAAGACAGCAGACGGUACAGGCAUCAACUCCAACACCCUAGCCUUACAGAUGAAGGGCCAUCCUGAGCUGAGGGACUAGCUUCAUGUCGUCACCUCAUGGGGGCCUUUGCCUGUCUACCCUGGGGUGGUCAACUCAGAAUUACCUGAGGAUCUCAAGACAUCUAUCACCAGGCAUCUUCUCAACAUGCAUCUCGACCCCAAAUGGCAAGCUCAACUGAACCAAUACAUGGUGUCCAAA